UAGGGAAUCUUCCGCAAUGGGCGAAAGCCUGACGGAGCAACGCCGCGUGAGUGAUGAAGGUCUUCGGAUCGUAAAACUCUGUUAUUAGGGAAGAACAAAUGUGUAAGUAACUAUGCACGUCUUGACGGUACCUAAUCAGAAAGCCACGGCUAACUACGUGCCAGCAGCCGCGGUAAUCCGUAGGUGGCAAGCGUUAUCCGGAAUUAUUGGGCGUAAAGCGCGCGUAGUCGGUUUUUUAAGUCUGAUGUGAAAGCCCACGGCUCAACCGUGGAGGGUCAUUGGAAACUGGAAAACUGGAGUGCAGAAGAGGAAAGUGGAAUUCCAUGUGUAGCGGUGAAAUGCGCAGGGAUAUGGAGGAACACCAGUGGCGAAGGCGACUUUCUGGUCUGUAACUGACGCUGAUGUGCGAAAGCGUGGGGAUCAAACAGG
rnacentral:rRNA from 1 species